ensembl:processed_transcript Gm42716 predicted gene 42716
UCACUAAUUGAGAAAAUGGCUUACAGCUGGAUCUCAUGGAGGCAUUUCCUCACGGGAGGCUCCUUUCUCUGUGAUAACUCCAGCUUGUGCCAAGUUGACACAGAAAACCAGCCAGUACACCCUCUCUUCUGCGUUUUUCACCAAGAAGUCUCACCACGAACCACAUAUGUGCUUCACCUAAACCUAGUUAUUCUCCAAAAUUCAUAUCUCCAAAUGCCAACAUAUUGGAGCUCACCUCAUAGAUUUGGGGGGAGCAAAGAAAGUGGGUGCUCUAUUCUGUGUUCUGUUGUUGUGAAGGGACACCAUGACCAAGGCAACUUUUAUAAAAGAAGAAUUUAAUUGGAGUUGGCUUAUGGUUUCAGAGCUUUAGUUCAUUAUGAUCAUGGCAGGAAGGGGCCACAAAGACAGACAUGAUGCUGGAGAUGUAGCUGAGUGUUCUAUAUCCAGAUCCAUAUAUGGACCUGGCUUGAGCUUUUGAAACUUCUACCCCAGUGACAUACUUCCUCUAACAAGGCUACACCAAUCCCAACAAGGUUAUACCUCCUAAUUCUUCUCAACCAGUGUCAUUCUCUGAUGACUCAGCAAGCAUUCAAAUAUAUGAGCUCAUGGGGGCCAUUCUUAUUGAAAUCUCCACAGUGGAUAAGGCGGGUGUUCAUGGAGUACUUUGUCUAAGGUCAACAAGAGCCAAAGGUGUUUCGUGUGAGUCUAAGUGGAAUUUGGUUUGGGGAAGAAUCUGGUUGGUUCUGGAUUACAUGAAGGUAGAUGCUCCUACAGUGUUCUAAAGGGACAACUAUGAACUUAUGAACAUAUCAUCACACACACACACACACACACACACACACACACACACACACAAACACAAACACUCGAGGAAAAUAGGGGGAAAAUGCAUGCAGUGAAUGUAGCAUCCAUUAUGUGUCCAAAGGACUGUGUUUCUGUCUUAGCUUUUACAAUGUCCUUCAGGAAUGAUCAAAGCCAAGUUGUUAACUUUCAGAUCUUUGUUUCUUGUAGAUGGAGUCUGACUGUAAUUAUAACCUACUUUAGAACUCUUUAUUUGUGAGAUGUUGUGUAUAAAGCCUAUGUUUAAAACCAUGGCUGAUUGGCACAGGAAGAAUCAAUAAUCGUGGCUGCUAUUAACUUUAUUAUCUGAGAGGAAAAGUUGGCCAAAUAUGAUGUUUAAGUUGAUGUAGGGAGAGGACAUGGAACAAUCUGAUUCCCUGGGCAUCAUUAAAAUGUCCUAGCUGCUACUCCCUCCAGAACAUUCUACACAGAAUUGGCUUGUUGGAAGCAGUUCUGUGACUUCACAGAGUGUCUUAGGUCAUGUCUGGUUGGCAGGCUUCCCAGUAGCAGAAUGGGUGCUGAACAGAUCAGAGCAGAAAGGAGAACAGACCCAGGAUUCACUGCCAUACUCAGUGGCCUUAUAGGCUCUUAGGUUUCCUCUGCUCUCUUCUUUACUAAUGACCCCAGUAAUCAGUCCAUAAGGCUUGCUUUGCCCCCUGUGAAUUCACUGAAAUUGUCACAAUUUUUGGAGGUAGGUGGAGUGUCAUAGGUGCCAUAGGUGGAGUGUCAGUUAUAAUCAUAUAUCUCGUUGCGGGUUGGGGGACUGAAGCAGAAAGAGUACAUGUUCAAGUUGCUAGAAAGAGGCAGACUGAGAGAGAACUUUGUUUUGGGGACUAGUUAUUUCUCUAGUAAACCUUGGUUUCCUGAGGGUAAUCUCUUUUUCCUUUUAUUUUAAUAAAAUAACCAGGAGUUAGACAUUACAACAAAAACAAAACUAACAACAAAUGAAAAGAACAACAGCCAGAAUUU